GCGUGAAGCAAACUGCUAUCCUCAAGUGGGGCAGUGGAAUAUGAUCAACAAGAAAAUGGUUAAUGGUGGCAGUGUUGAACACUGGACAUGCAUAAACUUCUCACGUCUGCCUCCAGAUGCAGUUCAUACAUUUUGCCACGAACUGGUUGGCAUGUGUCGAAAUAUAGGAAUGACAUUCAGCCCCAAUCCAUUGGUGCCCAUCCGCGCAGAUCGCCCUAAUAGGAUUUUGAGAUGGCUCUGAUGGAUGUACACAAACAAGCCACUACAAAACUACAAAGUGGAGAUAAGAAGAAACAUCUCCAAUUGCUUAUUAUCAUUUUACCUGACAUGAGCGGUUCAUAUGGAAAGAUAAAACGUGUUUGCGAAACGGAGUUGGGCAU